rnacentral:rRNA from 1 species
GACGUAGGGUGCAAGCGUUUGUCCGGAUUUACUGGGCGUAAAGAGCGCGUAGGCGGCUCGUUAAGUGUGAAGUGAAAUCUCUAGGGCUCAACCCAGAAACUGCUUUACAUACUGCGAGCUGGAGUGAUGCAGAGGUUUGUGGAAUUCCUGGUGUAGCGGUGAAAUGCGUUGAUAUCAGGAGGAACACCGAGUGGCGAAGGCAGCAAACUGGGCAUCAACUGACGCUGAGGCGACGAAAGCGUGGGUAGCAAACAGG